CUGCUGCCUUCCGUAGGAGUUUGGGCCGUGUCUCAGUCCCAAUGUGGCCGGCCACCCUCUCAGGUCGGCUACUGAUCGCUGCCUUGGUGGGCCGUUACCCCGCCAACUAGCUAAUCAGACGCGGAUCCAUCCCAUACCACCGGAGUUUUUCACACUGCGCCAUGCGGCUCCGUGCGCUUAUGCGGUAUUAGCAGUCAUUUCUAACUGUUAUCCCCCGGUAUGGGGCAGGUUAUCCACGCGUUACUCACCCGUCCG
rnacentral:rRNA from 1 species